rnacentral:rRNA from 1 species
GCCUACGGGGGGCAGCAGUGGGGAAUAUUGCACAAUGGGGGAAACCCUGAUGCAGCGACGCCGCGUGAGCGAUGAAGUAUUUCGGUAUGUAAAGCUCUAUCAGCAGGGAAGAAAAUGACGGUACCUGACUAAGAAGCCCCGGCUAACUACGUGCCAGCAGCCGCGGUAAUACGUAGGGGGCAAGCGUUAUCCGGAUUUACUGGGUGUAAAGGGAGCGUAGACGGCUGGCCAAGUCUGAAGUGAAAGCCCGGGGCUUAACCCCGGAACGGCUUUGGAAACUGGCCGGCUGGAGUGCUGGAGAGGCA